rnacentral:rRNA from 1 species
UACGUAGGGAGCAAGCGUUGUCCGGAAUCAUUGGGCGUAAAGCGCGCGUAGGCGGCCCUGUAAGUCCGUUGUGAAAGUCAAAGGCUCAACCUUUGAAAGCCGAUGGAUACUGCAGGGCUAGAGUCCGGAAGAGGCGAGUGGAAUUCCUGGUGUAGCGGUGGAAUGCGCAGAUAUCAGGAGGAACACCAAUUGCGAAGGCAGCUCGCUGGGACGUGACUGACGCUGAGACGCGAAAGCGUGGGGAGCAAACAGG